rnacentral:rRNA from 1 species
AGUGAACGCUGGCGGUAGGCCUAACACAUGCAAGUCGAACGGCAGCACAGUAAGAGCUUGCUCUUACGGGUGGCGAGUGGCGGACGGGUGAGGAAUACAUCGGAAUCUACUUUUUCGUGGGGGAUAACGUAGGGAAACUUACGCUACUACCGCAUACGACCUACGGGUGAAAGCAGGGGAUCUUCGGACCUUGCGCGAUUGAAUGAGCCGAUGUCGGAUUAGCUAGUUGGCGGGGUAAAGGCCCACCAAGGCGACGAUCCGUAGCUGGUCUGAGAGGAUGAUCAGCCACACUGGAACUGAGACACGGUCCAGACUCCUACGGGAGGCAGCAGUGGGGAAUAUUGGACAAUGGGCGCAAGCCUGAUCCAGCCAUACCGCGUGAGUGAAGAAGGCCUUCGGGUUGUAAAGCCCUGUUGUCGGGAAAGAACAGCAGCAGGUUAAUACCCCGCUGUUCUGACGGUACCCAAAGAAUAAGCACCGGCUAACUUCGUG